GUAUUUAAAGCAAAAACCAAUAGAUGCAAAACACAACCAUCCGAACAAGCAGUAAUUUUCAGUUUUAUGUUGGGGAAAACAUCUUCCAAAAUCUGAAAUUGAGAUAGAGACAACUUCCAACCAAGAAGAGCGAUUAAGUAUGAAUCAUGAGUGGUAGAUCAUAAGUUAGCCAAGACAUGGAUGUAUAUUCAUGGUUUCGACGAAGCCUCUCUACAACCACAACCACUGUUACUCCUAAACCUAACCUUAAAGACAACGAACUACUCUAUGGUGUCACUGAUCAAUUACUUGAUUUUAUCAAAUCCUUUUCCAUUGACACCUUUCGAAAUUUCUCUGUCCCAGAUGAGGAGAAUGGUAACGAAGGCAGUGGAGAUAAACCCGAGAAUGUACGGAAAGAUCUAUCCGAUUGGCAACAGCGUCAUGCUUUGAUUAUUCUUUCUAAAGUCAAGGAACUCUCACAAUUGAGGUUCAAAUUAUGUCCGCGUUAUUUGAAGGAGCAACAGUUUUGGACAAUAUAUUUUGCCCUUGUCAAGGGUUUUGUUGCCAAAUAUGAGCUACAUGCUAUACAGUUAGAUAAGCUCAAACAGAUGAGAAUGGAAAAUGAAAAUACACCAGAUGUUGCUGCAUGUGAAGUUGAGAUGUCUGAAGCGAAACAAACAACAGAUGUAUCACCUACAAAUUCGGAGGAGCACAAUUAGUAUCUCCUUUGGACAUGUCAUUAAUUAUCAGUGCACGAAAAGUGCCCCUUCUAUGAGCAACAUUCAAGCAUUUGAAGGUGCUGCUGACUUCUCUGCUGAUGGCUGACGAUCUGUGCAAGUGACAAGGUGUAUUAUAGUUCUGUAAAUGCUUAGAAGAUUAGAUCUUAGGAUUAAUCUAGGUUGGUUAAAUACAUUUUCUGCUUCUCAUGUUGGUUUACUUUAAAUUUAUCUAGAUGCAACUACUUGGAGCGCUUUUGUUCCCGGCUGACCUUAAUUUAUUAAUGGUACUAGCUUGAUGUUCUCAUACCAGAUAAAUAUUAGGACAAAUGAAUCUUUCUGUC